UUUUUUUUUUUUUUUUUUAAUCACUGUGACAAAGUAUCCGAGAAAAACAGUGUGAGAGAAAAGAUUUUAGAGGUGCAGUCUGCGUCAGCUGUGGGCCUGUGGUAGGGACAUUCUACCGAACAAAAUAAUAUCAUGGCCAGCAGCAAGGGUCUGGAUAAGAAACAGCCCCCAUUGAUGAGUCCUCUUGCUCCAGCAUGACUAACCAGUUCCCAACACCUUCCAACAUAUUGCCAGUAGCUGGAGGUCACCUUCAGCAGGAGCCUUUUGGGACAUGUCAUAGUCAGAUCUUAACAGCUCUAACAGCUUUGCUUUAUGAUUUAAUAGUUUUAUUUAGGAGAACCCCUUUGCAAUUAUCAAAUUAUCUAUUAAUAGGCUUAUGAUUAGGUUUUACAAUGUAGUUUCCUUUAUAAGUUAUAAAAAUACGUUAAGCAAUCAUGAUUCUGGCCAUUCACAAUACUCUUGGCUUUUCCAUUGCUUUAUAAAUACUUGCUUCAAACUGUCUUUAACUGACUGUCAUUGGAAAGGACAGACUUUACUGAACACAUGUUAUCAUCAAUGGUUUGUUUCUCUCCACUUUAGGGCAUUACACAAGCAAAGAGAAAGGUAGGGUUGCCUGCGUAAUGUUCUCUUUUAGUUUGUUUUUAAAAAGAUGUAAUAGCUUAUUAUUUGCACUUACGUGAUUCUAAUCAAGUAGAAAAAUGGCUUCUUUUGUGUUUUGAGGCUUUUGAGUGGCACCUUUCUGCGUCUGUGUUUGCCAAGAUGACAGUCCACACAUUACAGUUGUCUAUUGAUAUGGUCAUGACUUUGAUUUCCGCUCUGCAUUUGUUUUCAUUGCUUCCUUUAUAAAUGUCCUGGAACUGUUGCGUGCUUGCUUUUUAGCUUGUCUAUUUCUGUUCCACAAUUUAUACUGGUUAUAAUAUAAAUAGUCAAGAUAAUUUAAAAUGUUUUGAACUACCUAAUGUCAUGAUUUGGAUUAAUUGAUAUUUUUGUACUGAGUCAGGCUGAUCACAUUUGUUAGUUUAUGUGGGAAAACAGCACCAGAUCACUCAACUAAUGUUUAAAAACCACCAGUAGUUAAAUAUAGUAUAGAUCAUGUCUUCAAGGGGUUUAGGAUUUAGCUGUGGAUAUAUUUCAUCAAGAUCAGGAAAUGUUCACUAUAACAAGAUGUCCUGAUAAAGCAUUACAGAACAGGUAGAAUUUGAAUAUUCAAAAGGCAAAAUAAAAAAAAGCUUUUUAAAUGGAGGAUAUAGACUGAAGAAAUUGUGUACUAUAGGCUUUUGGUUCAUUUGAAUGAGACAUUUACCAGCCUGACUAGCUGGAUGAUGGAGGAUGGAGAAAGAGUGGUGUAGAUAGAGAGGACUGUGAUGCUGAAAGGCCGUCCAUGUGAUAGGCUGUGGUGAAUGUUCAGGAGGGGAUAACUGUUGUAGGACAGCUACUUGUACUUGUUAGAGACUCAUUAACUUAAAGUCUACAGCUUCACUGAACUUAUACUAAUUUCCAGUCUGUUGUUUAUGAUGCUUUCCAGAAUGAUCCUAUGGCUAACUAAAUAUUUGUCUCCUUACUAACUUUUGAGGAAAAAUUCUAAUUCCUUCAGCGUGCCACGCCUUUCCUGCUCUAGCUUGACUUCCUAGGCCUGUACCUCACACCUUUCCUGCUAUACCCAACUCUUACUCGUACGUGUAUGAUUAGACAAAGAAGGUGGGGGACUGGGCAUGUCUUGUCACAACAGCUUGUGCACUGUCCGCCUUCCAGAGCUGAAAGGUGGAAGAAUGAAAGGCAGAUGGAGGAGCCAGACAGAAGGGCCAGCCAAAGGUGGACCAAGGCUAGCCAGCCUUUCUCAAAACCAGCUGGUAUACCCAGUAUCAGAUACAAAGCGAUCUGAGGGAUAGAGAUGUAGCUGUGUAGUACAGCACUUGCCUUGCAUGCAUAAGGCCGAAGCUGUAGCCCUAAUACCACAAAAAAGAGAAAUGGUCUGCUCAGUGGCUGGCUGAACACUGUGUGUUUCUUUAACAGCUUUCCAGCAGGCUUGAGAUGAUCGCUGUGUUGGCAGUCCCACAGUGGUGGGUAUGGUCAUGUCAGGCUGGAUGGGUAGUCACAUGAGUGAAAAGAAAUUGUCUUUUUAAAAAGGAAAGUGCAAGUGAUCAAGGGAGCACAAAUCUUGACCCCAAGGAAGUUGUUUUUGUGAUGGGUUAUUAAGAGUACAGCUGUAAAGUAGUGGUAUUUUCUUAGAACCUUUGGGUGGUAUCUGAGCAGGUAGUAGUUAAAAACAAAAAAAGUACCUGGGUAUGGAGAGGAAGCUAUGGUUUCUCUGGUUCUUGCGGGUAGAUAUGUUUUCCAAUUCUGUUCUUGGGUCUCUUGUACUUUCAGACUGAUAAAUUGUGUGAAUACUAAUAAUAAAAAAGCUAAGCAUAGUGGCACAGGACUGUAAUCCCAGUACUCAGGAGGUGGAGGUCAAGGGUCAGGAACUCAAAGCCAUCCUGGGAUCCAUUGCAAUGUUGAGGCUAGCUUAAGCUACAUGAAACCUUGC
rnacentral:lncRNA from 1 species